AUUGAACGCUGGCGGCAGGCCUAACACAUGCAAGUCGAGCGAGCGGCGGACGGGUGAGUAAUGUAUGGGGAUCUGCCCGAUAGAGGGGGAUAACUACUGGAAACGGUCGCUAAUACCGCAUACCAUCGGAUGUGCCCAGAUGGGAUUAGCUAGUAGGUGGGGUAACGGCUCACCUAGGCGACGAUCCCUAGCUGGUCUGAGAGGAUGACCAGCCACACGGGAACUGAGACACGGUCCAGACUCCUACGGGAGGCAGCAGUGGGGAAUAUGGCACAAUGGGCGCAAGCCGGAGACAGCCAUGCCGCGUGUAUGAAGAAGGCCUUCGGGUUGUAAAGUACUUUCAGCGAGGAGGCGUUACUCACAGAAGAAGCACCGGCUAACUCCGUGCCAGCAGCCGCGGUAAUAC
rnacentral:rRNA from 1 species